UUGGUUAAGUUAGAAAGGGCGCACGGUGGAUGCCUUGGCACUAGGAGCCGAAGAAGGACGGGACUAACACCGAUAUGCUUUGGGGAGCUGUACGUAAGCGUUGAUCCAGAGAUUUCCGAAUGGGGGAACCCACUAUCUUUAGUCGGAUAGUAUCCUUACGUGAAUACAUAGCGUGAGGAAGGCAGACCCAGGGAACUGAAACAUCUAAGUACCUGGAGGAAGAGAAAGAAAAAUCGAUUUCCUGAGUAGCGGCGAGCGAAACGGAAAGAGCCCAAACCAAGAAGCUUGCUUCUUGGGGUUGUAGGACACUCUAUACGGAGUUACAAAAGAAAGUUAUAAAUGAAGCGGUCUGGAAAGGCCCGCCAAAGACGGUAACAGCCCGGUAGUUGAAAUGGCUUUCUCUCCAGAGUGGAUCCUGAGUACGGCGGAACACGUGAAAUUCCGUCGGAAUCCGGGAGGACCAUCUCCCAAGGCUAAAUACUCCCUAGUGACCGAUAGUGAACCAGUACCGUGAGGGAAAGGUGAAAAGCACCCCGGAAGGGGAGUGAAACAGUUCCUGAAACCGUGUGCCUACAAGUAGUUAGAGCCCGUUAAUGGGUGAUAGCGUGCCUUUUGUAGAAUGAACCGGCGAGUUACGAUUUGUUGCAAGGUUAAGCGGAAAAAGCGGAGCCGUAGCGAAAGCGAGUCUGAAUAGGGCGCAUAAGUAACAGGUCGUAGACCCGAAACCAGGUGAUCUACCCAUGUCCAGGAUGAAGGUAAGGUAAUACUUACUGGAGGUCCGAACCCACGCACGUUGAAAAGUGCGGGGAUGAGGUGUGGGUAGCGGAGAAAUUCCAAUCGAACUUGGAGAUAGCUGGUUCUCUCCGAAAUAGCUUUAGGGCUAGCCUCGAGGUAAAGAGUCAUGGAGGUAGAGCACUGUUUGGACUAGGGGCCCUUCUCGGGUUACCGAAUUCAGAUAAACUCCGAAUGCCAUGUACUUAUACUCGGGAGUCAGACUGCGAGUGAUAAGAUCCGUAGUCGAAAGGGAAACAGCCCAGACCACCAGUUAAGGUCCCCAAAUAUAUGUUAAGUGGAAAAGGAUGUGGGGUUGCUUAGACAACCAGGAUGUUGGCUUAGAAGCAGCCACCAUUGAAAGAGUGCGUAAUAGCUCACUGGUCGAGUGACCCCGCGCCGAAAAUGUACCGGGGCUAAACAUAUUACCGAAACUGUGGAUGAACCUCUUUAGAGGUUCGUGGUAGGAGAGCGUUCUAAGGGCGGUGAAGUCAGACCGGAAGGACUGGUGGAGCGCUUAGAAGUGAGAAUGCCGGUAUGAGUAGCGAAAGAAGGGUGAGAAUCCCUUCCACCGAAUAUCUAAGGUUUCCUGAGGAAGGCUCGUCCGCUCAGGGUUAGUCGGGACCUAAGCCGAGGCCGAUAGGCGUAGGCGAUGGACAACAGGUAGAGAUUCCUGUACCAGUGCUAAUUGUUUAACCGAUGGGGUGACACAGAAGGAUAGGGAAUCGCACGAAUGGAAAUGUGCGUCCAAGCAGUGAGUGUGAG
rnacentral:rRNA from 1 species